UACGAAGGGGGCUAGCGUUGCUCGGAAUCACUGGGCGUAAAGCGCACGUAGGCGGAUUGUUAAGUCAGGGGUGAAAUCCUGGAGCUCAACUCCAGAACUGCCUUUGAUACUGGCGAUCUCGAGUCCGGGAGAGGUGAGUGGAACUGCGAGUGUAGAGGUGAAAUUCGUAGAUAUUCGCAAGAACACCAGUGGCGAAGGCGGCUCACUGGCCCGGUACGUGACGCUGAGGUGCGAAAGCGUGGGGAGCAAACAGG
rnacentral:rRNA from 1 species